rnacentral:rRNA from 1 species
UACGUAGGUGGCAAGCGUUGUCCGGAAUUAUUGGGCGUAAAGCGCGCGCAGGCGGUCCUUUAAGUCUGAUGUGAAAGCCCACGGCUCAACCGUGGAGGGUCAUUGGAAACUGGGGGACUUGAGUACAGAAGAGAAGAGUGGAAUUCCACGUGUAGCGGUGAAAUGCGUAGAGAUGUGGAGGAACACCAGUGGCGAAGGCGACUCUUUGGUCUGUAACCGACGCUGAGGCGCGAAAGCGUGGGGAGCAAACAGG